UACGGAGGGGGCAAGCGUUGUUCGGAAUUACUGGGCGUAAAGGGCGCGCAGGCGGCUGCUCAAGUCAGGCGUGAAAGGCCUGGGCUCAACCCGGGAAUUGCGCUUGAGACUGGGCUGGCUUGAGUGCGGGAGAGGAUGGUGGAAUUCCCAGUGUAGAGGUGAAAUUCGUAGAUAUUGGGAAGAACACCAGUGGCGAAGGCGGCUAACUGGUCCAGAUCUGACGCUGAGGUGCGAAAGCGUGGGGAGCAACAGG
rnacentral:rRNA from 1 species